rnacentral:rRNA from 1 species
AACGAACGCUGGCGGCAUGCCUAACACAUGCAAGUCGAACGAGACCUUCGGGUCUAGUGGCGCACGGGUGCGUAACGCGUGGGAACCUGCCCUUAGGUUCGGAAUAACUCCCCGAAAGGGGUGCUAAUACCGGAUAAUGUCUUCGGACCAAAGAUUUAUCGCCUUUGGAUGGGCCCGCGCUGGAUUAGCUAGUUGGUAGGGUAAAAGCCUACCAAGGCGACGAUCCAUAGCUGGUCUGAGAGGAUGAUCAGCCACACUGGGACUGAGACACGGCCCAGACUCCUACGGGAGGCAGCAGUGGGAAUAUUGGACAAUGGGCGAAAGCCUGAUCCAGCAAUGCCGCGUGAGUGAUGAAGGCCUUAGGGUUGUAAAGCUCUUUUACCCGGGAUGAUAAUGACAGUACCGGGAGAAUAAGCUCCGGCUAACUCCGUG